GAUAAAAUGAUAAAUAUCAUAAUUGUCGAGAGUAGUCUUAUUUGUCUCCAUAGGAGCAUAGCACAAGUUUCUUCAAAUGCUACACAUAGAUUAUAAGGGUUUUUUUAAGCACACAUGACAUAUAUGAUAGGAUGAAAUCUGGAAUUCGUCUCGACGUCCUUUUAGCCAGGUGGCCAGUUCAUCUGUCGUCCCCCGAGAAGGUGAAGGUGAAGAUGGUAAACAGAUUGGCAUCCAUCAGGCCCAUCGUUGAUCACGAGUCUGAAUCCAUUCUCUAGAAGACCUUCCUGUUUGGCUACAAGCUUUGCUGUGUAGAGAAGUCGACCAAGAACAUCACAGUUCUUUUCUUCAGCCUUGGAAAGUCCGGUUAAGCCAUCCCUGACCUUGGGAAUAAGCAGAAUGUGCACAGGAGCUUGGGGAUUUAUGUCUCUGAAAGCUAAAACCUUGUCAUCCUCAAAUACAAUAUCUGCUGGGAUUUCCUUGUUAAUGAUCUUGUCAAAUAUGGUAGGAGAAUCUGAAGGAACAGCAAGAAGAGCAGCUUCUUUCUCAGAAGCCAUGGCUGACUUCUUGUGAUGAGUGAAGUGUGAAGUCCGCCGGAGAAAGAGAGUCGAAGCU
rnacentral:misc_RNA from 1 species